rnacentral:lncRNA from 1 species
CUGUGUUGUCUAGUCGUUCUUGUUUCUUUUCUUCUUUUUGUUUUUCUUGUUUAUCAUUUGUUUGGUUUUGGUUGCUCUAGGAGCUGAGGCCCCAGUGACAACAGAUCCAGGGACUGUCCUCAAAGAGCCCACGGGCUGGUGUUCCAGGGCCAGGCAGAGCCCGCCUUCCUUGAUAAGGGAGUCAGAGCGGAAUUUCCCAAUCAGAAAUCAGGGACAGAAGGAAAAGGAGAGCAGGACACAUGGUCUUAGGUGUGGAGGAAGUGUGUGGGAGCGCUGAGGAAGGUGCAGCUGACUGCGGCCUGCCUGCAGCCCCCGGAGGCUUCAA